AUGGUAUGUGGGAGACAAUCUGUAAAUGGCAGUUGUUACUAUGACUUCAUAGUUGAUUCUAGUCAAAAUUCCAAGACUAUAUGGACCCUGAUUUCUCAUUUGUUGAAUGACCUAAGAGGUGUUGCUUUCUUUACAGACAUCAGAAUCCAGGGGGACACUGGGGAUUGAAGAAAGAAUGGAUUCAGUGGCAUUUGGUGGCAUGCACAAUCCAAACUGCUGUGUGUUUAGGGGUAAAUGGGUAUCAAGGUAAGGAAGACAUCAAAAUGUGUGUAUCAGGAUGUUUUCAGCUAUAAACAAUAGAGAACCUUACGUAAAGUGCCUUUAAAAAUUAGGGAUACUUAUUAAUUCCUAUAACAAAAGUCCUAAAAAAGGGGCCAUUUCUGGAUUGGUUAAUUCUAUGGCUCCAUAUUAUUAUUGUCGACCCAGAUUUUGCCUGCCUUUUGGCUUUGCUACCCUUAGUCAUAUCACUCAAUCCAACUGACAUCCACGUUACAAGAUGGACACCACUUUCAGAAAACACAUCCAUAUACACCAAUAGUCAGAAUCAGAAAUCCAGUGUCUCUUCCUCUUCUCUUCCUUCCAGUGUGUCUUUCUAGGAGCUAAGGUAUUUUUUUCCAUAAGUUACUUCUCCCUAUAUCUCAUUGGUCAGAAUUAUGGCAUAUGCCCAUGGCUAAACCAAGACUGGCAAGGGCAGUAAGAUCCCCCUGACAUGCUUGGACCAAUCUUGACUCCUAGCUUGGGCCUGCCCCCCGCCCCUGGCCAUCUGGGGGCAGAUACCUGGAAAUCAGCUACUGUGUUCAGGGAAGGGGAACAUGGCUACUGUGUAGAUGAGUCCUCUUAAGGUCCUCAGAGGACUUUCAGGAGGCAGUGCCAUAUUCCAAGGGAAUGAUUUUCAUAGCACUUGCUGAACUUGGGGAAUAGCUAUUUUGAAGUCGGAAUACGUUUUGUCUCCUUCAGCUCAUACCAUUUGUUAUGGUAGGAUGGCCUCCCCCACCUUUUCAUCAGGCUAAUUCUGGGAGAACUUAGCAUAAGCAAGUAGCCCAUUUUAUUUUAUUUAAAAAUUGGCUUUUAAAGUCCAUACUCACAUGUGUUUUAUCCCCUUGAAUUGUCUGUGGAUGGUGGUGGUCUGAUCGAAAUGUUCUUCCUAGUGAUUCAGUCUUGGUUGGUGGGGGGGUGGGGAUUGGGGAGAAAGAUAUGUCUACCAUGGGGAAGGUCAAAUCCAGCCAAGUCAGAUGUAUUUGUUCCUUUCCAAACUCACAAAGGGAAAUGAAAAGCUAGGGACAAUUAUUUCAGGAGAACCAGUCUCUGAAUCCUAGUUCACAAGGAAGAGAAAUCCCUUAUUUAUUUAUUUUUAAACACUGAAUUGGUCCCAGGUGUUUUCCACAUUUUUGAAACUCACUAAAUAAUUUCUCUGCUGCUGACAGAGCUACCCUGUCAUUUUAGUUUAGAGGCUUCCUUACCUUCCUUAGAUUUGGAACUCAUCUCCAGUAGCAACGAUUUUUUCUUUGCUCUCUGAUUGGGGGUGUUUGUUUUAAAAUUCACACCUAUGAAUCCCAGAUCACCUGCACCCUGAACCCCAGGUUGCCUGUACUCUUAAUCCCAGGUCAGCUGUACCCUGAACCCCAGAUUAUCUGUAUUUUGCAUCUCAGGUCACCUGUAUUCUGGGACCACUUCCUGCCUCAACAGGAGGUUUAAAAGAUUCUCUAGGCUCAAGCCUUAAUGUAGCCCUUGGCCUUUGACCAUGUUGUUCCUCUGCCUAGAGUGUCUUUCCCCUUAUUUGGAGGUGCUCUCCUAUUCAUCCUUUAAGGCCAAAUGCAUUUGCUUUUUGCACACUCUGCCAAGGCACCUGGCCCAGAGGGUGAGUGGCGCCUGAAAUCUGGCCCAUGUUCCUCUCACCAAGAGUUGACUCUGUGUCAACCCAUAAGUAGGAGCCUCUUUUCUAAUUUGUCUCCCUUUCCCAAAUUUGUUCAGACCAGCUGAGGCCCUAUAGAUUGACCUCCAACAUUGUCCCCCUUCACUGAGCCUUCCCUGACUGUCAGGCAGAGGAUACUUCUCUUCUUGCUCAUUCCUGGAUUGGAGUCUUUAGGAAGUUGAAUGAUUUGGCCUGUACUCCUGUGUCUGUCUUAUUCAUCGUGACAUUUCCAGCUCCUAAAAUGUGGCCUGGACAGUAAGAGUUUGUUCCAUAUUUGAAACCUUUGUGUGCGUAUCUCUGAUUGCUGAUGCUGGGACUCAGAUGCCUGACUCCCUAAAAUCCUGUCCGGUCAUAUCUUGGCCUGACUGUGACCCCCCAUCUCCUCCUCUACUCUGGUAUAUAUGCUUCACUUCUGUGGAGACUCUGUUCUUGAGCUGCCAUUAACCUGAGGACUUGAGUUCAUACAGACAAGCCCCCUUUGGCUGCAGACACUCAGGGUAUAGGAUGAACAUGACCUGGGACAUCAUAAUGCAGAUACAUGAUACAGGAAGCCUUCCCUGACUUCCUUCUUUGUUUUUCCAUGAAGCCAGUCUGGAUCAGAUAUUUUUUUUUCUGGGCUCCAUAGCACCUGGUGCUUAUCUAUUAUAGUGUUUUAUAACCAUAUAUGUAAUAGGCACAGACAAAAUUCAGAUAGUAACUGAUACAUAACAUUGUAUUAGUUUAGGUGUACAGCAUAAUGAUUGGAUAUUUGUAUACAUUGUGAAAUGAUCACCACAAUAAAUGUAGUUAACAUCUAUCA
rnacentral:lncRNA from 1 species